AAUGGCCGGAUCUUGUGUGGUUACCCUGCCCUGAGGACCACGUUGGGAACCAGUGCUGAAGACAGUGGAAACUUGGGGUAAGAAGGAGAGAAGAUCGGAGGAGACGGGACAUUCAGCGCAGGAAGAGCAGUGAAGAUGGGAAAGUCACUGAUGAAGUUGGCGAUCCCCCGGCACGCGCAUUCUAAACAAAGGGCCCCCAAGAUGCGGCUGUAACACGGAAAUCAGCCCACGACCUUUCGUAUAACAAAUGAACGUUUUUAUUCACAAUAUUUACACAACAAAAACCCUGAGUUAUCAGCCUGAGGCGUCCCAACCAUCGUCCUCUCCGUACAC